GUCUAUGAAGUGUAAUGGUUUUGCAUAUCUUCCUGUCAAGAAGAAGGAUAGGGUUCAAUUCCCUCAUAGACU
rnacentral:tRNA from 1 species